rnacentral:rRNA from 1 species
UACGUAGGGGGCGAGCGUUGUCCGGAUUUACUGGGCGUAAAGCGCGUGUAGGCGGCUUCUUAAGUCGGGUGUGAAAGCCCGGGGCUCAACCCCGGGAUGCCGCCCGAGACUGGGAGGCUUGAGGUCGGAAGAGGGGAGUGGAAUUCCAGGUGUAGCGGUGAAAUGCGUAGAGAUCUGGAGGAACACCGAUGGCGAAGGCAGCCUCCUGGGCCAACACUGACGCUCAUGCACGAAAGCGUGGGGAGCAAACAGG